rnacentral:lncRNA from 1 species
GAGAAUUAAGCGACGCAAAUAAGAUAAAACCGUCGUCUUAUUAUGAGUUGAUAAAUAAAAAACCGCCCAGAUUUCUAUCUCCCAUGUUUGUUUCAAAUAAGACGACGGUUUUAUCUUAAUAACGUUGUAUUUAUUAUCACACCACGUCAGUUAUUAAGUAUAGCCGUGCUAUUGAAAUAGCACGAAUUUAAUUACUGUCGUGGUGUGUGAAUAAAAACGUAAAUACAAGACAAAACUGUCAUCCUCACAGCACCUGAGACUGAGGGACUAGGUAUUUUAUCCAAACCAUGAAAGAUUUCAUCCUUUUGAAAGGAGUCUUGUUUCCAGACUCAUUCUUUAAAAAAAAAAAAAAAAAACUUCAAAUGAUAUUGAAAAAGAAAAAGAGAGUGAGAAAAUACCUUUGGCUUGCAAAGAAAGUUUUCUUUGGAAGUAAACUUUGGAGUUUUGGAGACGAAGACAAGGAAGAGAGUGAGAAUUAG